CGAACCGCAAUGAAGAGGAAUAGUAGCUGGAGGAUGCCGGCUUAGAGAGGCGACGGUUGGUGGGAGUCGUCCCGGGUCGCCAGCGAAUCCACCCUCAGAGCGAGGUGCGACCGCGGGAUUGUCCCGCCUAAGUGCUGACGGAGCGAGCCGAUAUCUCGUUAGAGCGGACUUGUAAGCGUGUGCGCUUAUGGGUCAAUAAGGGUGGCAACGCGGGCCUUCCGUCCCUUUU
rnacentral:ncRNA from 1 species